CCAAGCCCUGGGCCCACCCAUCUGGGCUGUCUCCGCAGGGCGGAGCCAUCCAGAGCUCUCGAAUGGAUGGAUGCUGCUGGCAUCACCCCACCCCUACUCCAGGCUGGAGCUCUGGGUGUAGGAAGGGACUGUGGCCCUGGAUUGCCCCCACUGGGGCCUCCGUCACACCGGGUUCCCGACUGGAGCCAUGGGGAACGGGGUAGGAAAAGGAGAAGGAGCGCCGUGCGCAUGCGCGCACCCCACCGUGGAAGCAGCAGGUGCGGGGUGUGCCGAUGAGCACUGGGCAGAGUCCUGUGUGGCUUCCGCGGUGAGACCCUCAUUCUCUGGGCAUCUGUGCCGCAAGUGGACAAGAGCAUUUCAGAGAUCACUGAAGACAGAUUCCGUGCACCUGCCCCAAAAGAGGGUCGUUGUCCUAGGACCGCCUAUCACGCUGACUGCUUCCUGAGGCCCCAGGAGCCACGCCCAAGGCGAGACUUCCAGCCCCAACACCUACUUUGGAAGCCCCGUGGCCACAUGUAUGUCAGUAAGGGUUGUACAAAAUAAAUUCUAUUUAUCGCUAUUG
rnacentral:lncRNA from 1 species